GACGAACGCUGGCGGCGUGCUUAACACAUGCAAGUCGAACGGAAAGGCCCUGCUUUUGUGGGGUGCUCGAGUGGCGAACGGGUGAGUAACACGUGAGUAACCUGCCCUUGACUUUGGGAUAACUUCAGGAAACUGGGGCUAAUACCGGAUAGGAGCUCCUGCUGCAUGGUGGGGGUUGGAAAGUUUCGGCGGUUGGGGAUGGACUCGCGGCUUAUCAGCUUGUUGGUGGGGUAGUGGCUUACCAAGGCUUUGACGGGUAGCCGGCCUGAGAGGGUGACCGGCCACAUUGGGACUGAGAUACGGCCCAGACUCCUACGGGAGGCAGCAGUGGGGAAUAUUGCACAAUGGGCGGAAGCCUGAUGCAGCAACGCCGCGUGCGGGAUGACGGCCUUCGGGUUGUAAACCGCUUUCGCCUGUGACGAAGCGUGAGUGACGGUAAUGGGUAAAGAAGCACCGGCUAACUACGUGCCAGCAGCCGCGGUGAUACGUA
rnacentral:rRNA from 1 species